rnacentral:rRNA from 1 species
AUGACGGUAUUAUGUAUUGUAAACUCUUUUAUACAGGAUAAAAUGCGGGACGUGUCCNGUUUUGUAUGUACUGUAUGAAUAAGCAUCGGCUAACUCCGUGCCAGCAGCCGCGGUAAUACGGAGGAUGCGAGCGUUAUCCGGAUUUAUGGUUUAAAGGGUGCGUAGGUGGAAUAAUAAGUCAGUGGUGAAAUGCCGAUGCUCAACAUUGGAACUGCCAUUGAAACUGUUAUUCUUGAGUGCGGACGAGGUAGGCGGAAUUCGUAGUGUAGCGGUGAAAUGCAUAGAUAUUACGAAGAACUCCGAUAGCGCAGGCAGCUUACCAGGUCGCAACUGACACUGAUGCACGAAAGUGUGGGUAUCAAACAGGAUUAGAUACCCUGGUAGUCCACACAGUAAACUAUGAAUACUAACUGUUUGCGAUAUACAGUAAGCGGUACAGCGAAAGCGUUAAGUAUUCCACCUGGGGAGUACGCCGGCAACGGUGAAACUCAAAGGAAUUGACGGGGGCCCGCACAAGCGGAGGAACAUGUGGUUUAAUUCGAUGAUACGCGAGGAACCUUACCCGGGCUCGAACGGUAGAUGAAUGAUCUUGAGAGAGACAGACCUUCGGGACAUCUAUCGAGGUGCUGCAUGGUUGUCGUCAGCUCGUGCCGUGAGGUGUCGGCUUAAGUGCCAUAACGAGCGCAACCCUUAUUGUUAGUUGCCAUCAGGUUAUGCUGGGCACUCUAGCGAGACUGCCACCGUAAGGUGAGAGGAAGGUGGGGAUGACGUCAAAUCAGCACGGCCCUUACAUCCGGGGCGACACACGUGUUACAAUGGCCGGUACAGGGGGCAGCUACAUAGUGAUAUGAUGCGAAUCUCCAAAGCCGGUCUCAGUUCGGAUCGGAGUCUGCAACCCGACUCCGUGAAGUUGGAUUCGCUAGUAAUCGCGCAUCAGCCAUGGCGCGGUGAAUACGUUCCCGGGCCUUGUACACACCGCCCGUCAAGCCAUGGAAGCCGGGAGUACCUGAAGUUCGUGCCCGUUCAAGGAGCGACCUAGGGUAAUACUGGUGACUGGGGCUAAGUCGUAACAAGGUAGCCGUACCGGAAGGUGCGGCUG